rnacentral:rRNA from 1 species
UUGUAAUAAAAAUAUUAAUUAUUAAAAAAUUAAAUGAAAUCAUUAAAUUUUAAUAAUUUGGCGGUAUUUUAAAUAAUUAGAGGAAUUUGUUUAAUAAAUGAUAAUCCACGAAUGGAGUGUCCUGAUAAAUUUUUUAUGUAUUGUUGUAUAAAAAUUAUUUUAUAAGAAAUAUAAUUAAUAUAUUUUAUUUAAUUUGAAUUCAAAUCAAAAUGUAGAAUUAUUAGGUUUUAAUGAAUUACAAUUUAAUUAAAUAUUAGAAUUAUUUUUUUAAAUAAAAUAAUGAAAUAGGAUUUAAAAGUAAAUUUAAAAAAAUAUUUAAGUUGAAAUAUUAAUUAAAAUAUG